AGUACUGGUUGUAGUAGCUGAAAAGCGACUCGAACAUGGCCGCGGGUUCGCGCAGGAUGGUGACAUAGAUCGUGUCUGGAGGCAUGAGGCGCUCGAGUUCUGCACGGUCGAAGCGCAGAUGGCUGGCCAGCAUGUGCGGGGGCCUCGUAGCUGGGUGCACGAAGUGGGCCGAGAAGUUUCGCGGGAUAAUGUGCAUUAGAAGGAGGCGGUCCCAAAGAAACUGAGCACCGAGUACUGUCAGCCUGCUUGAAGAGCUGGAGAGUGCGGAACUACCUGAACUUUCUCAGAUUGCUUUUAGUCAGUCCUUCAGAAAAGACUGUGUGUCUGGCAGACACCUUGACUGAAAACCUGCAAGAGACCUGGAGUCACGAGUUCUCGGCCGCAUUUGGAUUCAUGAUUUAUAGAAAUGGAAAGAGAAUAAAUGUUUGUUGUUUUCAGCA